rnacentral:rRNA from 1 species
UUCCUACGGGAGGCAGCAGUAGGGAAUCUUCCGCAAUGGACGAAAGUCUGACGGAGCAACGCCGCGUGAGUGAUGAAGGCUUUCGGGUCGUAAAACUCUGUUGUUAGGGAAGAACAAGUGCUAGUUGAAUAAGCUGGCACCUUGACGGUACCUAACCAGAAAGCCACGGCUAACUACGUGCCAGCAGCCGCGGUAUA